CCCUGGUUAGCUCAAUUGGUAGAGCGCUCCACCUGUUUGGAGAGGUCCCGGGUUCGAUACCCGGACCAGGCG
rnacentral:tRNA from 2 species